rnacentral:rRNA from 1 species
CCUGAGAAACCCAAAAGAUCGAAUGGGGAGAUUCAUCGUCAACAUAUUUGGUAUAUGCAUAAGUUGUGAUUGUAAAAUUUUUCGGAAUUUUUGCUACACGCUUGUGUUAUUUAAUUGCUAAAUAUUUGUCGGCGUGCACUUCUCCCCUAGUAGGACGUCGCGACCCGUUGGAUGUCAGUCUAUGGCCCAAUUGGUAGACUUUAAUAAUAAUUUUUAUUAUUAUUGAAGACCAUUGGUGUUUCCUGAUUGACUGUUUGACGGUAUACAUACGGUAUUGAGCCGCAUAAUAAUAAUAAUGCGUCGAGCUUGUAACAAGUGUGAUUAGUGUCUAACCUUACAGUUUACGGACUUUGUUCCGUCGUAGGGCCUAAUUCGCUGUUGGCUUACAAUGUUCUUCGACUGGCUNAUAAUAAUAUAUAAUACCGGUCGGCGACGCUACUGCUUUGGGUACUUUCAGG